GACGAACGCUGGCGGCGUGCUUAACACAUGCAAGUCGAACGGAAAGGCCCUGCUUUUGUGGGGUGCUCGAGUGGCGAACGGGUGAGUAACACGUGAGUAACCUGCCCUUGACUUUGGGAUAACUUCAGGAAACUGGGGCUAAUACCGGAUAUGAGCUCCUGCUGCAUGGUGGGGUUUGGAAAGUUUCGGCGGUUGGGGAUGGACUCGCGGCUUAUCAGCUUGUUGGUGGGGUAGUGGCUUACCAAGGCUUUGACGGGUAGCCGGCCUGAGAGGGUGACCGGCCACAUGGGGACUGAGAGACGGCCCAGACUCCUACGGGAGGCAGCAGUGGGGAAUAUGGCACAAUGGGCGGAAGCCUGAUGCAGAAACGCCGCGUGCGGGAUGACGGCCUUCGGGUUGUAAACCGAUUUCGACUGUGACGAAGAGUGAGUGACGGUAAUGGGUAAAGAAGCAACGGCUAACUACGUG
rnacentral:rRNA from 1 species